GAUGAACGCUGGCGGCGUGCCUAAUACAUGCAAGUCGAGCGAAGCGGGGACGGGUGAGUAACACGUGGAUAACCUCCUAUAAGGCUGGAAUAACUUCGGGAAACCGGGGCUAUACCGGAUAGUGAUCGGUGGAUCCGGGUUGCAUUAGCUAGUUGGUAAGGUAACGGCUUACCAAGGCAACGAUGCCUAGCCGACCUGAGAGGGUGAUCAGCCACACUGGAACUGAGACACGGUCCAGACUCCUACGUGAGGCAGCAGUAGGGAAUAUUCCGCAAUGGGCGAAAGCCUGACGCAGCAACGCCGCGUGAGUGAUGAAGGUCUUCGGAUCGUAAAACUCUGUUAGCAGGGAAGCGGUACCUAAUCAGAAAGCAACGGCUAACUACGUGCCAGCAGCCGCGGUAAUUC
rnacentral:rRNA from 1 species